AGCGAAAUUCCUUGUGGGGUAAGUUCCCACGCGCACGAAUGGUGUAACAACCUGGGCGCUGUCUCAACGUGAGACUCGGCGAAACUGUAGUGGCGGUGAAGAUGCCGUCUACCCGCAUCAAGACGAAAAGACCCCAGAACCUUUACUGUAACCUGCCAUUGGAAUUUGGUUCAAUAUGUGUAGCAUAGGUGGGAGGCUUUGAGGCUGCGGCGCUAGCUGCGGCAGAGCCACAAUGUGAAAUACCACCCUUAUUGCACUAAGUUUCUAACCCCUUGCCGUGAAUCCGGCGGAGGGACAGUGACAGGCGGGCAGUUUGACUGGGGCGGUUCCCUUCUAAAAGAUAACAAAGGGGCCCAAAGGUUGGCUCAGGGCGGUCGGCAAUCGCCCGUGGAGCGCAAGCGCAUAUGCCAGCUUAACUGCGAGUCCGACAGGACAAGCAGAUACGAAAGUAGGGGCUAGUGAUCCGGUGGUUGAAUGUGGAAUUGCCAUCGCUCAACGGAUAAUAGGUACUCUGGGGAUAACAGGCUUAUCGGGCUCGAGAGUUCACAUCGACAGCCCGGUUUGGCACCUCAACAUUUGGGGUGGACCGGAAGUAAUUCCGGUCAUGUAUUGGCUAAUAACGGUGGAGCCCGACGAAUAAGGGUAAUACCGUGGGAAGUCUAUAGAGCAAUACGCAGGUAAUAUCAGUGGUCUUUUCUCUUGGUGACAAAAUAUCGCGAACAAUAAGUCUAAUACUUUGACUCUGAAUAUAUCAAUAUGAAAAAAGUUCAAAUGUAUUAGGUUAUUUUCAAGUAUUUUGGUCGCCUUGAGAAAACCAUGUUCUAUAUGACCCCGUAACGACUGAUUUCGCCACUUGAACGCGGCGAUUGAGAUAGUUGUAUAACAUAAACAACUAUCAUACGCCAACUCCAUUUACUGCAAAAUGGAUGGAGAUAUAGUCUAAUCCCACGCGAGAGCGUGGAUACGAUUGCGAUGUCGGCUCAUCCUAUCCUGGGGCUGCAUAAGGUCCCAAGGGUCCGGCUGUUCGCCGGUUAAAAGGGUACGCGAGCUGGGUUCAGAACGUAGAUAACACUGCGUUUUUCCAUAGUAAUAUGGAAAGAGAAUUGACUUAUAUCGGUGAAGCCCUACUGCAGGAUACCGAACGCUGCAGGGGUAAUACCGAGGGAAGGCCAUCGAAAUCUAAAAUUUAAUAUAGAUCAUGAUUCGAUGUGUCCCCGUAACGACUGAUUUCGCUACAAAAUGUAGCGAAUGAGAUAGCUAGUUAAAUAGCUAUCACACGUCAACUCCUCGAAAGAGGAUGGAGAUAUAGUCUAUGCCACUGGUAACAGUGGGUUAAACAUGCGUGAGACAGUUCGGUCUCUAUCUGAUGUGGGCGCAAGGAUACUUGAAGAGGAGUUCUCUUCAGUACGAGAGGACCUAGAGAAACGAACCUCUGGUGUUCCGGUUGUCCUGCCAAGGGCAAAGGCCGGGUAGCUAUGUUCGGAAGGGAUAAGCGCUGAAAGCAUCUAAGUGCCAAGCCCCCCUCAAGAAUAGGUAUCCCUGGGUCGCAAGACUCUGAAGGCUGGUCGUAGACUACGACCUUGAUAGGCGUGAUGUGUAAGAUCCGUAAGGAUUUAAGCUAACACGUACUAAUCAGCCAAUCGGCUUAACCUU
rnacentral:rRNA from 1 species